GAUGAACGCUGGCGGCGUGCCUAAUACAUGCAAGUCGAGCGAACGGACGAGAAGCUUGCUUCUCUGAUGUUAGCGGCGGACGGGUGAGUAACACGUGGAUAACCUACCUAUAAGACUGGGAUAACUUCGGGAAACCGGAGCUAAUACCGGAUAAUAUUUUGAACCGCAUGGUUCAAAAGUGAAAGACGGUCUUGCUGUCACUUAUAGAUGGAUCCGCGCUGCAUUAGCUAGUUGGUAAGGUAACGGCUUACCAAGGCAACGAUGCAUAGCCGACCUGAGAGGAUGAUCGGCCACACUGGAACUGAGACACGGUCCAGACUCCUACGGGAGGCAGCAGUAGGGAAUCUUCCGCAAUGGGCGAAAGCCUGACGGAGCAACGCCGCGUGGGUGAUGAAGGUCUUCGGAUCGUAAAACUCUGUUAUUAGGGAAGAACAUAUGUGUAAGUAACUGUGCACAUCUUGACGGUACCUAAUCAGAAAGCCACGGCUAACUACGUG
rnacentral:rRNA from 1 species